rnacentral:rRNA from 1 species
GACGAACCGAGCAAACGUUAUUCGGAAUCACUGGGCUUAAAGGGCGCGUAGGCGGGCAUCCAAGUCUGUGGUGAAAUCCGGCAGCUUAACUGUCGAACUGCCGUGGAUACUGGGUGUCUCGAGGGAGGUAGGGGCAACUGGAAUUCUCGGUGUAGCGGUGAAAUGCGUAGAUAUCGAGAGGAACACCUGCGGCGAAGGCGGGUUGCUGGGCUGACACUGACGCUGAUGCGCGAAAGCCAGGGGAGCGAACGGG